AUCUCUAUGACUCUAUAUCUGACUAAGAUCAAGUGUAGUGUCAGUUCUUAUCAGUUAAGUGUCUGAUAUGUCCCUUAUCUGGGGACGAUUUAUUAAAUUGCAUUUUUUAAGAGCAGGAAGAGGAAUUACAGGUUUGCUUCGUCCACUGCACAUAUUAAUCUGGUAUUGCAGCAUCUCUGGAAGGGCUAUUGUACAG